rnacentral:tRNA from 1 species
CACUAAGAAGCUAAAUAGGACAAGCGUUAGCCUUUUAAGCUAAAAAUUGGUGCUUUCCAAACACCCUUAGUGA